GCCUGGGUGGCUCAGUUGGUUAAGUGUCUGACUUCAGCUCAGGUCAUGAUCUCACCAUUUGUGAGUUCGAGCCCCGCAUCAGGCU
rnacentral:tRNA from 1 species